UACGGAGGGGGCUAGCGUUGUUCGGAAUUACUGGGCGUAAAGCGCACGUAGGCGGCUUUGCAAGUUAGAGGUGAAAGCCCGGAGCUCAACUCCGGAAUUGCCUUUAAAACUGCAUCGCUAGAAUUGUGGAGAGGUAAGUGGAAUUCCGAGUGUAGAGGUGAAAUUCGUAGAUAUUCGGAAGAACACCAGUGGCGAAGGCGACUUACUGGACAAAUAUUGACGCUGAGGUGCGAAAGCGGGGGGAGCAAACAGG
rnacentral:rRNA from 1 species